UGGCCAGACUCCUACGGGAGGCAGCAGUGAGGAAUAUUGGUCAAUGGGCGCGAGCCUGAACCAGCCAAGUAGUGUGAAGGAUGACUGCCCUACGGGUUGUAAACUUCUUUUAUAAAGGAAUAAAGUGAGGCACGUGUGCCUUUUUGUAUGUACUUUAUGAAUAAGGAUCGGCUAACUCCGUGCCAGCAGCCGCGGUAAUACGGAGGAUCCGAGCGUUAUCCGGAUUUAUUGGGUUUAAAGGGAGCGUAGAUGGGUUGUUAAGUCAGUUGUGAAAGUUUGCGGCUCAACCGUAAAAUUGCAAUUGAUACUGGCAGUCUUGAGUGCAGUUGAGGUAGGCGGAAUUCGUGGUGUAGCGGUGAAAUGCUUAGAUAUCACGAAGAACUCCGAUUGCGAAGGCAGCUUACUAAACUGCCACUGACAUUGAUGCUCGAAAGUGUGGGCAUCAAACAGGAUUAGAUACCCCAGUACUA
rnacentral:rRNA from 1 species